CCUACGGGUGGCAGCAGUCGAGAAUCAUUCACAAUGGGGGAAACCCUGAUGGUGCGACGCCGCGUGGGGGAAUGAAGGUCUUCGGAUUGUAAACCCCUGUCAUGUGGGAGCAAAUUAAAAAGAUAGUACCACAAGAGGAAGAGACGGCUAACUCUGUGCCAGCAGCCGCGGUAAUACUGAGGUCUCAAGCGUUGUUCGGAAUCACGGGGCGUAAGGCGUGCGUAGGCUGUUUCGUAAGUCGUGUGUGAAAGGCGCGGGCUCAACCCGCGGACGGCACAUGAUACUGCGAGACUAGAGUAAUGGAGGGGGAACCGGAAUUCUCGGUGUAGCAGUGAAAUGCGUAGAUAUCGAGAGGAACACUCGUGGCGAAGGCGGGUUCCUGGACAUUAACUGACGCUGAGGCACGAAGGCCAGGGGAGCGAAAGGGAUUAGAUACCCGAGUAGUC
rnacentral:rRNA from 1 species